rnacentral:rRNA from 1 species
UCUGGUGGCUAUACCGGAGGGGAAACACCCGUUCCCAUCCCGAACACGGAAGUUAAGCCCUCCAGGGCCAAUGGUACUGCCUGGGUGACUGGGUGGGAGAGUAGGACGCUGCCAGGA